ACAGCCCCAAGAUCAAGAGUCACAUGCUUCACCAGCUGAGCCAGCCAGGCGCCUCUACUGCUUAUUUUUCUGUCCCUCUACACUGAGAUACCAAGAGAGCCCCAGAACAACUAUCACUGAUAGAGAAAUUCCAAGAAGAGAAAAAGAAUAAAAGGACAGAGAGGAGAAUAAAGGAGAUGAGUAAAAGGAAGAGAAACAACAACUUUGAGGGCCUUUAAAAUUUUUUUAAAAAUAAAGAACAAGUUAUAAAGAUUUUUUCUGGGGUGUUUGGCUGGCUUAGUUGGGAGAGCAUGCGACCCUUCAUCUCAGUGUUGUGAGUUCAAGCCCCAUGGUGACUGUACAGAUUACUUAAAGAAAAAAAAGAAGAUUUUGUUUCUACUGAAGAAGUCAGGAAAACUGAGAUGGACACUUCAUUUAAAGACAACUUUUGAGAGAUGAUAUUUGUGACAGGAGAAGGAAAGUGAGAGAAACAAGAGUUUCAGUAUCCUUGUCAGCAAAACAAGGAUAAUGCCAUCUACCUUAGAAUCGUUAUGAGGAUCACAUGAAAAGACAAGCAAAAUGCUUUGUGGAUUAUAGAGCCUGAAUUAAUGAUGACCUUUCUCCCUGUUUCUCUACUCACCUCCAAGGUAACUGACCCGAGUGUGUGCGGAGGUGGCCAGUGAGAGCAUCGCGCCGGCGGCAGGCGUAGUUACAGAAGGGACAUUUGAAAGG